rnacentral:rRNA from 1 species
UACAGAGGGGGCAAGCGUUGUUCGGAAUUACUGGGCGUAAAGGGCUCGUAGGCGGCCAACUAAGUCAGACGUGAAAUCCCCCAGGCUCAACCUGGGAACUGCGUCUGAUACUGGAUGGCUUGAAUCCGGGAGAGGGAUGCAGAAUUCCAGGUGUAGCGGUGAAAUGCGUAGAUAUCUGGAGGAACACCGGUGGCGAAGGCGGCAUCCUGGACCGGCAUUGACGCUGAGGCGCGAAAGCCAGGGGAGCAAACGGG